rnacentral:rRNA from 1 species
UACAGAGGUGGCAAGCGUUGUUCGGAUUUAUUGGGCGUAAAGGGUCCGUAGGCGGUCUAGAAAGUCGGAUGUGAAAUCCCACAGCUCAACUGUGGAACUGCAUUCGAAACUCCUAGACUCGAGUGUGAUAGGGGUAAAGGGAAUUCCCGGUGUAAGGGUGAAAUCUGCAGAGAUCGGGAGGAACACCAGUCGCGAAGGCGCUUUACUGGAUCACUACUGACGCUGAGGGACGAAAGCCAGGGGAG